GCAGAGCAUCCUACGGGAGGCAGCAGUGGGGAAUAUUGCACAAUGGGCGCAAGCCUGAUGCAGUCCAUGCCGCGUGUAUGAAGAAGGCCUUCGGGUUGUAAAGUACUUUCAGCAGUGAGGAAGGUGGGUAUGUUAAUAGCAUACUCAUUUGACGUUAGCUGCAGAAGAAGCACCGGCUAACUCCGUGCCAGCAGCCGCGGUAAUACGGAGGGUGCGAGCGUUAAUCGGAAUUACUGGGCGUAAAAGCGCAUGCAGGUGGUUUGUUAAGUCAGAUGUGAAAGCCCGGGGCUCAACCUCGGAAUUGCAUUUGAAACUGGCAAACUAGAGUACUGUAGAGGGGGUAGAAUUUCAGGUGUAGCGGUGAAAAUGCGUAGAGAUCUGAAGGAAUACCGGUGGCGAAGGCGGCCCCCUCGGACAGAUACUGACACUCAGAUGCGAAAGCGUGGGGAGCAAACAGGAUUAGAUACCCUGGUAG
rnacentral:rRNA from 1 species